UCAGUUUCCAGUUGUAGAGGACGAGAGAAGAUCGAAUUGAUCGUAACCGCUACCUACAUUCCACAAAAUUGUGCAUUGUGAUUAGGUGGAUUCUGGCUUAAGGAUCAUAACCACUACCUACAUUUGUCAUCAACAAGGAAUAGAUUCAGCAAAGAAAACCUCCUUUGGGGAAUUUCCUCAGGAGCUUCAAAUCCGAACCCACUUCUGAAAAUCAGGUUGAUGCAGGGGGUUUCCUUCUCUGGUGGCUAGGGGCGUUGGUACCGCACAUGCUGUUGCAGAUACAAGUACCAAAUGAAAAAAUCUUAUAAGAUUUUGAGUGUAUUGGAGUUUAGUAGCUCAAGGAAGCGAAUGUCCGUGAUUGCAAAAAAUGAGGAAGGAAAGAUACUAUUGCUCAGUAAAGGUGCUGACAAGUUUGCAAACUCCUUCCCUUCUCUCUGUACUACAAAAAUAUUUAAGCACUUUCACUAUUACAUGCCGGUUGAUACACAUCGGUUCAAAACUUAUGUCCUUUUCAUUUAGCAACUGAUGUCUUAUUAAGUGAUGUCUAUUAUAGCAGUUUUAGACAUCGGUGGAAAGAUGAUGUCCAUAAAAUACACAGACAUUGAAAUUUCGAGAGUAACCGAUGUCGCACAUAUGCCAAAAAGCUUUACAAUUAAAAUAUUUCGAUGUCUUAGGUUCAGUGGUUAGAGCGUCCACUACCUAGGAUCCAGGUCCUGGGU